AUUAGAUUACAGCGAUGGUCAAAAGCAUUUAGAUAUUGCUUUGAAAUCUACAGAUAAGUAUUUACAUAGGAAAAUAUUGGAGGAUGAAGUUCUACCUACUGCCUCAAGUUAAUUUAAAUUCUGAGUUGCAACAAGCAAGAAGGGCACCAUUAAAUGAAUAUUAUACCCAUAAAGCAACAACAGAAUAAAAAACCAAAAUAUGAACACCAGCAACUAAAACAGGAACCAUUA